CCCUUAGAUGUUCUGGGCCGCACGCGCGCUACACUGAUCGAUUCAACGAGUUUUGAAAUAAUUUUUAUAAUUUUUCAUAUCCUUUGUCGGAAGGCAUGGGUAAUCUUUUAAAUGUCGAUCGUGAUGGGGCUAGAUUCUUGCAAUUAUUAAUCUCCAACGAGGAAUUCCUAGUAAACGCAAGUCAUCAGCUUGCAUUGAUUACGUCCCUGCCCUUUGUACACACCGCCCGUCGCACCUACCGAUUGAAUGGUUUAGUGAGGACUCCUGAUUGGCGCCGCCGCCCCGGCAACGGAGCAGCGGACUGCCGAAAAGUUGUUCAAACUUGAUCAUUUAGAGGAAGUAAAAGUCGUAACA
rnacentral:rRNA from 1 species